UGUAUCUCCGAUUACUGUACUGGACUUAUUUUUUUUUUUUGGUAUCUGAGAUUCUUCGGAAUUUGGGAGAGGGUUAGUAGAUUAAUUAGAUCAUGUAUGCGGGAAGAGGGACGGUUGGACCGAAAGCCGAACGGGAAGAGAUUAGCGAAGCUUACGAUGUUAAUCGGUCCGAGGGCAAAGAAACGGGCGAAUCAAACUCCGUGUUGCAUGAUUCUCGUUCUUCUACCCUCUCCCGGACUCACAUUUUCCAAGCUGUAGAUUCAUCAGAAGACUCAGAGGUCAAGGGUUCCGACGAAGAAGACUUGGCAUGGACUACCUGGUUCUGUAAACUACCUGGUAACGAAUUCUUGUGUGAAGUCGAUGAUUAUUACAUCCUAGACAACUUCAACUUGUGUGGACUCCGACAUCAAGUUCCUUACUACGACCACGCUCUCGAUUUGAUUCUCGAUGAUGAUUCUUCUCCUCAUGGUCAGAUGAUCACAGAUGAACAGAACGAACUGAUUGAGUCAGCAGCCGAGAUGUUAUACGGAUUGAUUCAUGCCCGUUACAUAUUGACAGACAAAGGAUUCCUUUCUAUGUUAAACAAAUACAAUAGGUCCGAGUUUGGAAGAUGCCCCAGAGAUUCUUGUAGUGGCCAAUCUUGUUUGCCUAUUGGUCUAUCCGAUGUCCCUGGAGCAAGUACCGUCAAGAUGUAUUGUCCCAAAUGUGAGGACGUUUAUCACCCGCCAUCAAAAUUCCAAGGAAGUAGUAUCCUUUUGUUGUUUCGCAUUCGAUUUUUUUUUCCUAAUCUUUCGGUUUUUAGUCUUCCUUAACCAUACCAAAACAGAUAUAGAUGGAGCUUACUUUGGGACCGCGUUUCCACAUCUGUUUCUCAUGUAUUACCCAAAUAAGAGGCCUAAAAAGAUGUUGUCGGAAAGCUAUGUUCCAAGAUUGUUUGGGUUCAAGUUACACAAGCCGUGAAGGGAAAAAGCAAAAGGAAGAAGAUUAUUACCUAGAGACUUGUCCCUGUGAUCAAAUACAAAAUUAUAUCACGAAAGUUGACAACUUGGUAUCUCUCUCUAUAUGUGUUUUGUGUUGUCGCCUUUUAGGUUUUAGAUACAUGCCAUUUAGCAGGCAUGUAAUACUUGCUUGUAUAAUUAGAGGGUUAGUAUGGGGUUAACAUUAAUAUUUAUUCUAGAUGGACAAAAAUCCCUAAAAUGAUUCUUAGAGAGUA